ensembl:lncRNA CYP4F26P cytochrome P450 family 4 subfamily F member 26, pseudogene
GGGUACAGGCACCCAGUGUUGUGGCCUGGCACCACUGGCCUCUCAGAGGGUGGGUAGCACACUGUCCUUACCCGGAGGACAGCAGGCCUGAUCACCAGCUUUUCUACCUGUCCCUGUAAGCAUCACGUUGCUAGAAGAAAAUCUCAUGCCAGAGCUUGGACCAUCCCUAGCUCAGAGGUUAGGGGUUGUCUCUUGGUGACCUACAUGAAAAAAUAGGUCCAGAUCAGAGUUCCUGAUGCAGAGCACUCAUCCACUCUUUCAAUCGUUGGAGGAGAGGCCUGGUUUUAGGUAAACCUAACCUCUUUGAGGAACCACAGAGCCCAAGACUGGAAACCUUCAGAAUCUGCUGGCCCCCAACCCUCCCUGGGGACCCCUGUGGCCUGUCUCACCAGAGCACUCUUCUGUCUGUAGAUGUCUCAGCGGCUCUACAAGGGAGUCCCAUUUCAGGUGUGGGGCUGGGCAUGGUCACUCCUGCUGGAUGUCUAGAAGAUGGAAACUAAGGACCUAGGAAAAUGCCAGAUACAGCCUUUCCACCCUCAUCCAGAGCAGGACAAACAGGCCAGGUGGUGUCAGGAGCCCAGGUCUCCAGCUGGAGGGAACGUCAACCCUGCAGUGGGAGCAGGGGCCCAUCGCACAUCCUAGGCACAGAUGCUAAUGUAGGCACUGCAGCCUUACCCUGUAGGAAUUCUAGUGACUAUGUUGCCACCAUCUUGGAGCUCCAUGCCCUCAUAGUGUAAUGGCACCAGCAGAUCUGCCUGUGCAUGGACUUCCUGUACUACCUCACUCCUGAGGGGAGAUGUUUCUGCAGGGCCUAUGACCUGGUGCACAACUUUAGACACCAUCAUCCUGGAGCAGCACUGCACCCUCACUAGCCAGAGUGUUGACAUCCUCAAGGCCAGGGCCACAUUCAAGACUUUGGACUUCAUUGAUGCACUUGUGCUGAGCAAGCUGCUUUCUGCUCCCUCUAUGGACCCUGCAUGGAAUUGCCCCAUGUUUCUGUUUGGGCACCACUGAGGAAGGAAGCAUGAAGGAUGCACAGAUCCUGGUCAGAGUAAAACAUUCCAUGGGAACUCGGGCUGUGAGAAACAUCCUAACCACCUGACUGCAGAAACAUCCUUAUCACAUCCUGCUGGGCAAGGGCCCAACAGCCUGACUUCAGGAACAUCCUUAUCAUCUUCUACUGAGCAGCAAGCUAUACUGUCCAGAGCCCUCCCUCCCAGCCCCAUGAUUACCCCAGCCUGUAAGUGGCAGUGGGCGCUGACACUAAGCUGGUUUCCCCCUCCGCAGGGUUUUGCUAGUAAUAAACCUGUGUUGCUGUUGAA